GAAGAGAAAUGAGGGGAUGAGGAAGCUGGCGCCCUGCUUCCCCUUCACCGGAGGAGGAAGCUAUGGCCCGUCGCCGCCUGGAUAGGGAGGAGCUCUCUCUCUCUCUCUCUCUCCCUCUCUCUUCCCGUGCUUCUUCAGAUUCUUCCACGCGUUUCCAGUUUCCCUACCUAAUUCCCCGCCAGUGCUCAAUAUGGGGCAUCGGGCGGGGAGAUUUUUGGGCAGGGGCGGAUUUGGGCAAAAAAUUAGACGGAGAUUUCACGUCGGGAUGCCGUUGGGGAGGGUUACGGCUUACCGGUGUUUUGCCUGACCCCAUACCAGUCGGCACCCACUCUUUACCCUCCCCGUUUUCCCCGUUCCCCCAAUUUCCCCAUACCCAGCGAAUCCUCCUCGCUCAGCCUGUUCACCGAAAUCCCUAAUUUCUGGCCCAGACGAUGAUUUGGCGAGAGAAGGGGAGGGAACAGGCGCCAAGGAGGGAGAGGAGCACGAAAUAUCCAACUUCCGUGCCCAGGCGACGAUUUGGCCCCGGGAAGGAGGGGACAGGCGCCAUUGGAGGGAGAAUACGAGCAGCAAGAAGAGGGAGGGAAGACGGGAGCUGCUGCACCCUCUGCUGCACCUUAGAAAGAACGGAGGGGAGGAAGAAGGCUGGGCGUGGCCGGACGCACGUACGGCGCCGUCGUCGAGGAUUUCGUGGUUGCCGUCUCCAACCUCUGCCGUCCUUCCUACUCUACCCAUGGCGCGAAGGCCACCGUCGUGGGCGGCGGACAAUUUUGCUGGAUGCCAGACUUUGGGCAUUACCCAUUACCCUACCCGAAAUUUAGGGGUGAUAAAUUUCUCCUCCCCGUUGCUCCUGGUAACGGGUCGGGCAAUGGAUACGGGUUACCCACCGGCAUCCUGAGUUCAUUUCAGACGACUAAUCGAUUUCUACACCGAUUUUAUCGGCACACGUGAUUUCCUCUGCCGAUAAACAUUAAACUCCACGUUCCUUUCCCAAUCAGCGAUUAGUCGACACUGAAUCGGUCAAUUUCGGUGAUUACGAGUGAGCAUGAAGUGAAUAGAUGCGGUGAAGAAAGAAACUGCGUGGGUACAAAAUACAACCCCGUCAUUUAAGAAGAAGAAAAAACGCCGAUCAUCCAUCCGGCGAUUUCUCUGUUCUCUUCGGGAGAAGAAAGAAGAGGGGCGAAGCAAAUCGGCGCCGGCGGCGAGUGCGGCUGCUGGAGGAGUUUUCUUCUCCGAGUCCGGUUAAGUCUUAAUCGCCGAUUUCAGUCUUGAGAUCCGAAUCGAUUCGCCGCAGGUCGACUCGGAUCGUACGAUUCGAUUCCGAGUUAAGUGCUGUCUGUCGCGAUUGAUAUAUAUAUAUAUAUGUGCGUCUAGAGGCGCCAGAUUUUCCAUCAAAUCCCACAUCAAUCUCAAUCUCGCAGGGGCAGGGGCAGGGCGAUUUUCCAGCCGUACCAAGAUAAUUAAACUUGAUGGGAUGGGAUCACGCUGCUAUUACCAAGUGGAAAUUAAGCGGGGCGCCAAUCGAUUACGAUCAAAUGUCCAAGUGGGUGGGGUUUGAUACGGAAGGAGUGGAUACGACCAAGAAGAAUGUGGGGAAGAAGACCAAGAUUAAGACGGUGAUUUACGAGGUGACCCCAGAAAUUUUGGAUAUGCUAGACCGGAAAGUGGAACCCGUGCCUCCAUCUCUGUUUGAAGAGAAUCCUGAAGCCGCCGUGUUUUAUAGCAAAAUCAAGGAGGAAAUUCUGAUGAUGCAGGACAUGAUUAGGCGUCAGUACGAGCUCAAAGGCUAUGGCACGUACCAAGAAGAGGUCACCGACGACGAGGAGGAGGUGGAAGAUGCAGCUGCCCACGGCCACACGGAAGAUGCAGCAACGAUAGAUCCUCCCCACCACAGGGAGGAGGAUGAAAUGGUUACUUCGCUUGUUCCACUAGCACGAGGGCGAAGAAGAUAUCGUCCCGGAGUCGUCAAGCAAGCAACUGGCUGUAAGAAAUUAGCUUAGAUCGAGCUAAGGAAGGUGUUUUGGGCAACCCGCAGUGCUUUCAUCAAUCUGUUGGCCGUGCAAAUGGUGCGUUGGUGGAUUACCGAAUUGUUGGGUGGAAAUACAGUUGGUGAUAUCGGAGUUCUUAUGUCGUGUAAGGCUGUAUAAUCUGCAUGUUUUACAGCAAAAUGAUGCUUGAGGUUUAAGAUGGUGCUCUAAUGAACCAGUAGAUGUCAAGUGCAGAAGUCCUGUAGGUGUGAAUCUGUAUAAAUCAAUUGCUUUAGUGAAUGCCUAAGUGCUAAAUUUCAUUACGGAUCCAUGAUGCCCAGUUGUGAUUUCAGUUAGUCUUGCAGAUCAAGGGAGAUUCGGUGACUGAUUAUUGUGUGCGCCGAAUAAAAUAAUGUAUUUACAAAAGGCGAGGCAAAAAGGCUGCUCCUAACAUUGUUGCGGGAGUAUACAAUUGACUUCAUGUUGUGAUGCAAGAUCCUGUUGCAGCAUAUGCAAGCAAAUUGAUUCAUGUUGAUGCAAACCAGUGUUUGAAAAAUAAUUUUUUUUUGCGUGAUUCUUUGCACGUAUUGAUAUUUUUUAUUGGCAAGAGUAAAUAAGAACUUGCAUCUAUAUAAACAUGGACCCAAGUGCAUGAACUUGCAUCUGAAUGAACAUGUACGUAAGUGUUGCUUGAUAUAUUGAAUUUGCAUCUGGGAUGGAUGUGUACUGAA